UACGUAGGGUGCGAGCGUUGUUCGGAAUUACUGGGCGUAAAGCGCACGUAGGCGGAUAUUUAAGUCAGGGGUGAAAUCCCGGGGCUCAACCCCGGAACUGCCUUUGAUACUGGGUAUCUUGAGUGUGGUAGAGGUGAGUGGAAUUGCGAGUGUAGAGGUGAAAUUCGUAGAUAUUAGGAAGAACACCAGUGGCGAAGGCGGCUCACUGGUCCGGUACUGACGCUGAGGUGCGAAAGCGUGGGGAGCAAACAGG
rnacentral:rRNA from 1 species